rnacentral:sRNA from 1 species
CCAGGGCGAUGCCACCCUCUGCCCACUUCCGGGGCACGGCAACAGCCCCAUCGCCACCGGCUCGCCAGACGU